GGGUAGUUUGACUGGGGCGGUCUCCUCCUAAAGAGUAACGGAGGAGCACGAAGGUUGGCUAAUCCUGGUCGGACAUCAGGAGGUUAGUGCAAUGGCAUAAGCCAGCUUGACUGCGAGCGUGACGGCGCGAGCAGGUGCGAAAGCAGGUCAUAGUGAUCCGGUGGUUCUGAAUGGAAGGGCCAUCGCUCAACGGAUAAAAGGUACUCCGGGGAUAACAGGCUGAUACCGCCCAAGAGUUCAUAUCGACGGCGGUGUUUGGCACCUCGAUGUCGGCUCAUCACAUCCUGGGGCUGAAGUAGGUCCCAAGGGUAUGGCUGUUCGCCAUUUAAAGUGGUACGCGAGCUGGGUUUAGAACGUCGUGAGACAGUUCGGUCCCUAUCUGCCGUGGGCGCUGGAGAACUGAGGGGGGCUGCUCCUAGUACGAGAGGACCGGAGUGGACGCAUCACUGGUGUUCGGGUUGUCAUGCCAAUGGCACUGCCCGGUAGCUAAAUGCGGAAGAGAUAAGUGCUGAAAGC
rnacentral:rRNA from 1 species